rnacentral:rRNA from 1 species
CCUACGGGGGGCAGCAGUGGGGAAUAUUGGACAAUGGGGGCAACCCUGAUCCAGCCAUGCCGCGUGUGUGAAGAAGGCCCUCGGGUUGUAAAGCACUUUCAGUGAGGAAGAACGCCUGGUGGUUAAUACCCAUCAGGAAAGACAUCACUCACAGAAGAAGCACCGGCUAACUCCGUGCCAGCAGCCGCGGUAAUACGGAGGGUGCGAGCGUUAAUCGGAAUUACUGGGCGUAAAGCGCGCGUAGGUGGCUUGAUAAGCCGGUUGUGAAAGCCCCGGGCUCAACCUGGGAACGGCAUCCGGAACUGUCAAGCUAGAGUGCAGGAGAGGAAGGUAGAAUUCCCGGUGUAGCGGUGAAAUGCGUAGAGAUCGGGAGGAAUACCAGUGGCGAAGGCGGCCUUCUGGACUGACACUGACACUGAGGUGCGAAAGCGUGGGUAGCAAACUGGAUUAGAUACCCUAGUAGUC